rnacentral:rRNA from 1 species
GAGCACGUAGGUGGGUUUGUAAGUCAGAUGUGAGAGCCUUCUGUUCAACGGAAGAAUUGCAUCUGAAACUGCGAGUCUUGAGUGUAGGAGGGGAGAAUGGGACUUCGGGUGGAGCGGUGAAAUGCGUAGAUAUCAGAAGGAACUCCGGCGGCGAAAGCGAUUCUCUGGCCUAUUACUGACACUCAGUGUGCGAAAGCUAGGGGAGCAAACGGGAUUAGAUACCCCGGUAGUCCUAGCCGUAAACGAUGGGCACUAAGUAGAGGGGUUUU